UGUUCCUACGGGGGGCAGCAGUAGGGAAUCUUCCACAAUGGGCGAAAGCCUGAUGGAGCAACGCCGCGUGAGUGAAGAAGGUUUUCGGAUCGUAAAGCUCUGUUGUUGGUGAAGAAGGAUAGAGGUAGUAACUGGCCCCUAUUUGACGGUAAUCAACCAGAAAGUCACGGCUAACUACGUGCCAGCAGCCGCGGUAAUACGUAGGUGGCAAGCGUUGUUCGGAAUAACUGGGCGUAAAGGAUGCGUAGGCGGUUAAACAAGUUAUAUGUUAAAUAUAUAGGCUUAACCUGUAGAAAGCAUAUAAA
rnacentral:rRNA from 1 species